rnacentral:rRNA from 1 species
UACGAAGGGUGCAAGCGUUACUCGGAAUUACUGGGCGUAAAGCGUGCGCAGGCGGCUUUGCAAGACAGAUGUGAAAUCCCCGGGCUUAACCUGGGAAUGGCAUUUGGGACUGCAAGGCUGGAGUGCGGCAGAGGAGACUGGAAUUCCUGGUGUAGCAGUGAAAUGCGUAGAUAUCAGGAGGAACACCGAUGGCGAAGGCAGGUCUCUGGGCUGACACUGACGCUCAUGCACGAAAGCGUGGGGAGCAAACAGG